AAACUGGGUCUAAUACCGGAUACGACUGUCGGACGCAUGUCUGGUGGUGGAAAGUUUUUUCGGUUGGGGAUGGGCUCGCGGCCUAUCAGUUUGUUGGUGAGGUAAUGGCUCACCAAGACGACGACGGGUAGCCGGCCUGAGAGGGCGACCGGCCACACUGGGACUGAGACACGGCCCAGACUCCUACGGGAGGCAGCAGUGGGGAAUAUUGCACAAUGGGGGAAACCCUGAUGCAGCGACGCAGCGUGCGGGAUGACGGCCUUCGGGUUGUAAACCGCUUUCAGCAGGGAAGAAGCGCAAGGGAGAGUACCUGCGCAAAAAGUACCGGCUAACUACAUGCCAGCAGCCGCGCGAAUACAUAGGGGACGAGCGAUGUCCGGAAUUAUUUGGCGUAAAGAGAUCGCAGGUGGGUGGUCACGCCUGUUGUGUGAAAACAACGCUUUACGUUGCGCGCGCGUGUGUACGGGCUGACUCUAGAGCGCGAGGGGAGUCUGGCUGGGGUAGCGGUGAGAUGCGCGCAUAUCUCGAGGAACACCCGUGGGGAAAGCGGGACUCU
rnacentral:rRNA from 1 species